rnacentral:sRNA from 1 species
GCUGGGCACAGUGACGCAUGCCUGUAAUCCCAGCAAUUUGGGAAGCUGACGCAGGAGAACGGCAAGUUUGAGAUCAACCUUAGCAAUUUAGCAAGAUCCUGUCUU